GCAGGGUACACAAUUUGGUACUGCGUCUCACGUUACCCGUGACUCUGAUUUCGUACAAGACGGACAGUCUUAUCCGGCAUGUUUUAGAUAUAAAAGAACAGAUAACCACAGAUAAUUUGACACAUCCAUCGCUAGAACACAUAAAAUAUUUUUAAAAAAUCCCUUGCAAAACUUGCGAACUUUCAGCUAAAGUAGGCCAAGACUCCAAA
rnacentral:misc_RNA from 1 species